rnacentral:rRNA from 1 species
AAGCGGUGGAUGACGUGGUUUAAUUCGAUGCAACGCGAAAACCUUACCCACCUUUGACAUGUACGGAACCUUUAGAGAUAGAGGGUGCUCGAAAGAGAGCCGUAACACAGGUGCUGCAUGGCUGUCGUCAGCUCGUGUCGUGAGAUGUUGGGUUAAGUCCCGCAACGAGCGCAACCCUUGUCAUUAGUUGCUACAUUCAGUUGGGCACUCUAAUGAGACUGCCGGUGACAAGCCGGAGGAAGGUGAGGAUGAUGUCAAGUCAGCAUGACCUUUAUAUCCAGGGCUACACACACGCUACAAUGGUCUGUACAAUGGGUAGCCAAGCCGCGAGGCGGAGCCAAUCCUGAAAGCAGGCCUCAGUUCAGAUUGCAGUCUGCAACUCGACUGCAUGAAGCCGGAGUUGCUAGUAACCGCAGGUCAGCAAUACUGCGGUGAAUACGUUCCCGGGUCUU